rnacentral:tRNA from 1 species
CAGUGAGUAAUUUAAUUUAGAAUAUUAAUUUUGGAGAUUAAAAGUGGAUAUCAUCUUUCACUGA